UUUUCAACGAAAGCUUCCUAUUACAAUAGUUGAAGAGGUCUUCCAAGCUCGGUCCAAGAAGGUCUAUGACCAUUACAUUGUACUCACCUUCGACUCCAAACCAUUUAAGGUUGGGAAUUCCAGUUCCUCCUGAGAGAAGCAUAUAUAUUUUUGAUUCAUAGUGCAGUUGAGGGUGCUUUGUCUUGACAGAUUCCAGCUUAAUGGCAACUUCUUCUCCAUUCUGUAAAUUCACACCUAAAUAAAGUUCACCAAAAGACCCACUUCCGAUCUUCCUUCCCAACUUAAACUUCCCACCCACAACAUGAUCCAUGGUAACUGAACAACUCCACUUCAAGAUUUCAACAACCAAAUAUUU
rnacentral:misc_RNA from 1 species